ACGCCAGACUCCUACGGGAGGCAGCAGUGAGGAAUAUUGGUCAAUGGCCGGAAGGCUGAACCAGCCAAGCCGCGUGAGGGAGGAAGGCGCAGAGCGUCGCAGACCUCUUUUGCCGGGGGACAAAAGGCCGGACGGGUCCGGUUCUGAGGGUACCCGGAGAAAAAGCAUCGGCUAACUCCGUGCCAGCAGCCGCGGUAAUACGGAGGAUGCGAGCGUUAUCCGGAUUUAUUGGGUUUAAAGGGUGCGUAGGUGGUUAAUUAAGUCAGCGGUGAAAGUUUGUGGCUCAACCAUAAAAUUGCCGUUGAAACUGGUUGACUUGAGUAUAUUUGAGGUAGGCGGAAUGCGUGGUGUAGCGGUGAAAUGCAUAGAUAUCACGCAGAACUCCGAUUGCGAAGGCAGCUUACUAAACUAUAACUGACACUGAAGCACGAAAGCGUGGGGAUCAAACAGGAUUAGAUACCCGCGUA
rnacentral:rRNA from 1 species